UAAUAAGUACUCAGUUAACCCAGCUAGAACACCUUGUAAGUAUUAUGAAUAGCAUGCUUUUCACAAAGAUAAGAUGAGCCAAAUAUCUAGAAAUUAAACUGACUGGAGAACUAGGGAAUUCACUUUGUAAUGGAUUUGGUCCAGUGAACAUGGCAAAGCAAUUUUAGAACAACAGUUAGCUGUUACUACCACAGUACAAAUGAAAAGAGGAUUUGUUCAAAAAACUAAAGUGAAAAUGGAUGUGGUGGUUUUCUGCAAGGAAAUCAGUUCCCUUUCUAGUGAAUUUACAGAUGCCUUUGUGAUUAGAAGCUAAUAGUCAAGAUAAUGUAUUUUAAGUCAUAUAAAGCUUAAGUAAAUAUUGCCAUAAAGGGUUAAAGUUAAAGAUAAGGCAGUACAACAACAUCUCAACACUGGAGCCCAAAUUUAUUUUCCCACAGCAUUUUUUCAGAAUGAUGUCAUUAUAGAACCCAGGUAUGAAAACACAAUUGGAAAUCAGCUGCAGUGGUGUCUUCGGAUUACACAGUGUACAACUCCAGAAAGUAGAGCAGGAAGUACUGGGAACUUGACAAACCCAUUGGAAAGAGUUGAAGCUACUGCCAGUGAACUCAACUGGUCUCUGCCUGGGCAGAGCGGUACAGCUUUGCCUUGCAGCACUGGUCUGCCACAAGUGUCACUGUGUUAAGUAGGAGAGCUUGAUGCGUAAGAGGUGCUGCUGAAGAAAAAAUGAUGAAAAAGGAACAGAUAGAGGAAUAUAAGACCAUGGAUGUUCAAAUGUAGUUUUAAGCUGAGACCUGAUCUUCAAUUCUCUUGCAUAGAAACUUCAUAUCCAAUUCUGCCCACACAGCUCCUAUCCACAACAGAAAAGGCCAUUACGGGUCUUUGAGGAUUCUUUUCUUUUGGUUUUGCCAAUGUUUACUUGUCCGGUUAUGUAGACAAGAUCUCCCUCAGUGGCUUUUUGAAAAUACCUGCCUCUACCUGCCAACUUCACAGCAGUACUGGACGUUUGCUCUGGGAGGCCUAGUUAUAUUGGAAAGCAGCUACUUGAAUCAUAGAAUCACCAAGGUUGGAAAAGACCCACAGGAUCACCAAGUCCAACCAUCCACCCAUCACCAAUAGUUCUCACUAAACCAAGAAGACAUCACAUAUAUUAAUGGACACCACCUCCAACUCUUGCUGAGAUUCCUUCAUGGGUCAUUGUGUUUGUCAUACAGGUUGUGCAAUUAAGGAUGAGAUACACACCUUGUCUUUGUGACUGAAGACCACUGUCAACUAUGACAGAAAAGUCAUUUGAUUCUCAUUCUGGCUACUCAACAGACACAGUGUGUAGCAUUAUCCAAAGCCACAUUAGUCAAUGGAAAACAUAGCUAAGCGAUCCAACUAACUUUAAAAUCAACUUGCAAUACUACCUACACAAGGGAAUUAAAGUAAUAUUUAUUUGCUUUUCAUCUGAGAAUUGAAAGGUUCCCAGAAAUAGUGAUUUCUGAACUGUAACAGAUCAAGACAAGUGCAUAAUGCAAUAAGUGUGUAUCAAGACACUGCAUAACUUGAGGUUUAAAACAGCACAAAUUAUAUAUAUGUAUCAUGGUUCGUAUUUGAAAUGUCUAGAGAAAUCUUAGAAUAGCUAUGUGUAAUUGCUCAGUUUAAGAGAAGAAUGUAACUAGUUGAAAUUCAUCAUCAAUAUACUUAAACAGGAUUAUUUUCUUCUCUUGAGCUUCAGUUUAUUAUCCUUGCAAAAUAUCCAUAUCAAAAUUCCAAAGGUUAAGGCUACCGUCAUGGUUUCCCAAUUGUAUCUUUUAUGGAUGAAUUAAAAAAAAUAAACCUUACCAUUACUUCUAAAUAAUUGUACAAAUAUUUUCUUAAAUUUAGCAACAGAGAAGAAAUUAAAAUCUCCUAAUAAGUACAAACUAACUUUUCUCUGUUGGCAGAGUGAAAGAAAUCCUCCCAGGAGCACAAAAUUAAGUAAUGCAGAAGUGUAGGACAGAUAAGGUAUCACAUUAAAGGGUAGCUGGAAAUUGAUUUCUUAUUAAAACAAAACAUGAGAAACCACAAAAGUCCUUUUCAGAUCAGAGGUGUAAUAAGUUUGAAAAGUAAGCAACAUUUUUCCUUCCUUUAAACAUGCAUUUUUAGACUAAAGAGUAAAAAUGAAUUUUUAAAAAUAUAGAUGAUUUAUGUAUAUAAAUUGAUAGGUAGAUGCUAUAUAUACAAUUAUAUGUACCUACAAAGAUGCAGUUCUAUCAGUCAUUUCAGCUGCCAUCUGACAUGAAUUAACAAUACUGGUUAAGAGUUAAUAUUUCCCUUGUUUUUCUUUAUCUCUCUUUCUCAAUCCACUUUUCUUUGUAGGCUAAAACAGACAAUAAACUCUUUGGUAAAGUGACGGCUCAAAGACAGAACACUGAAUUCUCAUUCCAAAGAAACCGCUGUAUUAGACUGGAGGUUAUCGAAGAAUCAUUUCUAAUGAAGCUACUAAAUCUAGCAUGAUGCAGGGCUUUUCCAAAACAGUGGAAAUAAUACAUAUCAUCAGUGCACUGACACACACACACACACUCGAAACAAAACAAAACAAAAAAACCCAAGAGAAGUUAAACAUAUCUAAGCAAAUUACAGACCUAUUCAUCUUAUUUCACCUUUUUGUAAGGUUUCAGAGAAGUUUUAUACGAAAGGGAUAACUUAAGUUUCUAAUGAAUAUUGGAAUUGCAUCACACUCAAUAUAACUUGGUGAAGAGUUAUUGUUCCUGGCUAAUACUGGGCCUUUCUUUAAAAAAAACAGCUGAACUACAUAUUACUGUAGAACUCUUCAUCAGAGCUCCAGUAAAGCAUUUUGUAAGGUGCAACAUGAAAACUGAUUAGUUCUGCUGCGGAAAAUUUAUAAUUUUUUAAUAAUAAAAAAAUGAUCUGAUAGGUAAGGUACAUGUGGCAGGAAACUACUCAUGGAGUUCUUAAAGAAAUAUUGGCUGAGUUCAUUUUAUUUCAUAUACUCUUCAGUAGUCUUGGAAAACAAACAAACAAACAAACAAAAAACAGCACAAAACAUGGAGAUGACACAAAGCUGGAAAGCAUCACUAAUACAAACAAAGACCAAUAAUAAUCCAUGGGAGGAAUAAAAGGGCUUUGAUGACAAGAAUUAUAAACAGUAAGAUGAAAUUAGUGUAAACUGGUCAUCAAUAUAAAUAGAUCAUAGAUUAAAAAAAAAAAAAAAAUCUGAAAAACCAGAGUAAUGAGAUUCUGGGAUUAAAGACAUUUCUAACAAAGUUGCAUGUAGCAUCCCACAACACCUCUUAUAGUAGAAUUGGAUGGGGUUAUUAAAAGAAUACCUGCAGCAUGAGGUAUUUGCUUGUGACAGCAGAUAGUGAGGCCAAUUGACCAACAUGAUUCCUCCCAGUCCCAUGUCCCUGAGAUAAUCACACUCAUGCCAGCAAUGAGCACUUGAGUAUCUCAUUGAGGUCGAUGGCUUUCAGCAGCCCUGGAGGUUUCACUGGAGCCUCUUGUGUGCUUGACAUCGCACACGGGUGCCAGCACUUCUCUAUCAGCACAGUCUCUGUUACGAGAAACCUCAAAGUGUUUUGUUAGUGGUACAGGUAGCACCAGCAGGAUGCAUCCCUAUCUGGAGUGAAGCACAUCAGCUGACUGGCGUGUCUUGUAACACUCACUCACUGAAUUUGAUCCCUGUGAAGAAAGCCACUAUUUCCUUCCUGUUUUGAAGGACUAAGAGGUAUUCCUACAUCUGACACACUAAUUCCCACAGCUGAGAUAUACCUCCAGGGAGACAUUUGACAGAAAUUUCCAACUCCAAUUAUUUUAUAAUAACAGAAAACCAGAUCUCUGAAAGAUUUGAUAUGGCACCAGGAGAAGAGAGGAUACAAAGAUUCAGAAUGAUUUACAGCACCGUAGGAAGCACAAGU